rnacentral:rRNA from 1 species
GACGAACGCUGGCGGCGUGCUUAACACAUGCAAGUCGAACGGUGAAGCGCCUUCCUUUUUGGUGGGUGUGGAUGAGUGGCGAACGGGUGAGUAACACGUGAGUAACCUGCCCCCUUCUUCUGGAUAACCGCAUGAAAGUGUGGCUAAUACGGGAUAUUCUGGGUCUGUCGCAUGAUGGGUCUGGGAAAGAUAUUGUUUCGGUGGGGGAUGGGCUCGCGGCCUAUCAGCUUGUUGGUGGGGUGAUGGCCUACCAAGGCGGUGACGGGUAGCCGGCCUGAGAGGGUGGACGGUCACACUGGGGAUGGGGCACGGCCCCGACUCCUACGGGAGGCAGCAGUGGGGAAUAUUGCACAAUGGGCGCAAGCCUGAUGCAGCGACGCCGCGUGAGGGAUGGAGGCCUUCGGGUUGUGAACCUCUUUCGCCAGUGAAGCAGGCCUGCCUCGUUUGUGGGUGGGUUGACGGUAGCUGGAUAAGAAGCGCCGGCUAACUACGUG